AGAAACUGCAAUUCCUCCCAACAACAUGAUACGAUCGAACCCUACCGCCAUACCGCUUAGAGCAUCAGACCUCAAACAUCUCCAGGCCGAGAUCGACAAGCGAAAGUUGGAGCGGGAACCAUCCCAAGUAUCUCCUUCCGGUCAGGUCGUCGUUUCACGAGAUGGAGCAGGGAGAAAUGAGGAGUCUAGAGAUGAUGGUAACAGGGAUGGGAAGCAGGAUGAGCGAAGGGAGAGACACGAGAGGAUUGGGUUGUAGGUUUUGAGGCAGGCUGUCAUGACUUCCACGACUAUAAUGAUAAACGACCCAUCCAAGCAUACUGUAUUAUGCAUCACUAUAUGCGCAAUUC
rnacentral:sRNA from 1 species